AAGCAUGCUAUUGAUUUGCAUAACACAUAUUCAAGAUGAAGUUGUGUAGUGACCACCAAAGCCAAAUUUCCGUGCCCCUAUUUCAUUAUGUGUUUAAGUUUAACCCUGUUGAGCCUUGUUAAACCUAUGUUCUUUGUUAAUCCACACUAUCCUUACCUAGCCUAGUUUUAGGACCAUCCAUACCCUUGUUCUUGAAGCAUAGUAAAGCAUGACUUAAAAUGAACUCCUUUUUUAUCAAUGUAUUGCAGAAAGCAAGUGUGGGGGAAGUGAUUCUUGUUUGUGUAUGUGUGCCAAAGUCCUUAAUAAGGCACGGGUAGAAAAGAAAAAAAAAAGAGUGAAAAGAAAAAAGUUUGUUAAAAAAGGGUCCAAAACAUUGAAUUCAGCCCUAAGUGUUGCAUAAAUCUUCCCUUUGUAUUUAAAAGUUAAUCCUGCAUUCUAAAGUGAACUUCAAGUGUCUAUUUCAUUGCUUUGCUUGCCAUCGCUUUAAGAACGUUUGUUAUUCCUAUCCUUUCUUUAUUAGCCAUUACCCCCAAGCCCUAUUACAACCCUUGACUUCAAUCUUGAGUGUUGUGUGUUUCAAUUUGUGGAGUUCGAAAUUGGUAUGAGCAU
rnacentral:lncRNA from 1 species